rnacentral:lncRNA from 1 species
GGGUGGAGUAUUCCAAGAGUUCUCUCCUUUUACCUGUACUUCCACAACCGGCUGUGGCUCCACUGGUUCCACUGUCUACAGGAGAGCAGAACGAUGUUAAUCUGAACAUGUGCCAUAUAACUACACCUUCUACUGUAUGGUCUGCAUGGCAAGGCACGGAUAGGUGUGUAGAAGCACAGUUCACCACACAAAUAAAGACACAAAGUCGCACAUGCACGCAUACAGUCAGAAUGAAAAUCUAAUUCAGUUUCUGUAUGAACACAUACAGUCAGAAUGAAAAUGGGAUAAAAUGACUGAAUUAGAUUUUGUUGAAUUUCUGAUGUUGUUUGGGAUGCUGUUAUGCUAUUUAUGUUCACAGAUGAUGAAUGAAUAGAUUCAGACCUCAGCCCAUUCUCCACAAGUCAUGCCAUCAGUCCAGCUAAAUGCAGCACUAUCUAAAGUGUGUUGAUUCCACAUUGAGAAAAACAUAAGCAAAAAAACUCCAUGAAAUGUCACAAUAUGUCACUGGAAGUAUCAGGAUAGAUUUACAUUUACAGGAAUGCUCUGAGGGAUUGCUCUGAGAGACUGUUAUGUUUGGUAUCUGUAUUGAUGCUCUGCUCAAGAGAAAGGGCAGCAGUCUGUAUGAUGUAGCUAGUAGAUCUUGUACCCACAAGAUGCAAUGAUUUGAAUACAGUUAAAUGAAAUGAAGGAUGUCACAGUGAGCUUAACUCUGUUAGCUUCAAAUUGGCUGAAUGUUGUAUUAUCAUACCGCUGCAGCAGGCUUGGCAGGGGCUCUGGCUCCACUUGUUGACUUAACCUUGAUUUUAGACUUGAGGCCUAUCAGUGCCUCAAAUUCAAGCUGGUGAAAGUAGCCAUAGGAGGAUGUGCUCAUUGUAAUGGAUGGAAUGGAGUCACUGGAAUGGUACCAAACACAAACGCAUGGAGACAACGUGUUGGACUCCAUUCCAUUGAUUCCAUUCCAGGCAUUACAAUGAGCCUGUCCUCUUAUAGCUCCUCCCACCAGCCUCCUCUGGAACUGAUAGCUUAAACACCCAUUUUCACCAUGCAACCCAACAGAAAGAGACAGAUGGCACGUGAGGAUGGAAUAUGCCAAGAGUUCUCUCCUUUUACCUGUACUUCCACAACCGGCUGUGGCUCCACUGGUUCCACAGUCUACAGGAGAGCAGAACGAUGUUAAUCUGAACAUGUGCCAUAUAACUACACCUUCUACUGUAUGGGCUGCAUGGCAAGGCACGGAUAGAUGAUGAAUGAAUAGAUGCAGACCUCAGCCCAUUCUCCACAAGUCAUGCCAUCAGUCCAGCACUAUCUAAAGUGUGUUGAUUCCACAUUGAGAAAAACAUAAGCAAUAAAACUCCAUAAUAUGUCACUGGAAGUUUCAGGAUAGAUUUACAUUUACAGGAAUGCUCUGAGGGAUUGCUCUGAGAGACUGUUAUGUUUGGUAUCUGUAUUGAUGCUCUGCUCAAGAGAAAGGGCAGCAGUCUGUAUGAUGUAGCUAGUAGAUCUUGUACCCACAAGAUGCAAUGAUUUUAAUACAAUUAAAUUAAAUGAAGGACAGUGAGCUUAACUCUGUUAGCUUCAAAUUGGCUGAAUGUUGUAUUAUCAUACCGCUGCAGCAGGCUUGGCAGGGGCUCUGGCUCCACUUGUUGACUUAACCUUGAUUUUAGACUUGAGGCCUAUCAGUGCCUCAAAUUCACAUCAAACUGUUACAAUCUGACACACAUUUAUGUUUUAUGUUAAUUUUUACAAAAUAUUAUCUGCUGCCAAAGAAUGCUUCUAAGUGCCUUGUACUACAGGAGUUGGCUUACCUUUCUGCUGAAAAGUCUGCUGAACGGGCGGUCAGAUUUCGGCUUGGCGGCCUCUGCUUCUUUGGCAGCACCCUUUGGUUCUUCUUUUGGUGCGUUGGUCACAGGUUGGGCAGCUAGUUCUGCUUUAACCUCCAUCUUAGGUGGGGCUGGGGCUGGGGCUGCGGCUGCGGGUG